rnacentral:rRNA from 1 species
AUGUACGCUGGCGGCGUGCCUAAUACAUGCAAGUCGAGCGAACAGAUGAGGAGCUUGCUCCUCUGACGUUAGCGGCGGACGGGUGAGUAACACGUGGAUAACCUACCUAUAAGACUGGGAUAACUUCGGGAAACCGGAGCUAAUACCGGAUAAUAUAUUGAACCGCAUGGUUCAAUAGUGAAAGACGGUUUUGCUGUCACUUAUAGAUGGAUCCGCGCCGCAUUAGCUAGUUGGUAAGGUAACGGCUUACCAAGGCAACGAUGCGUAGCCGACCUGAGAGGGUGAUCGGCCACACUGGAACUGAGACACGGUCCAGACUCCUACGGGAGGCAGCAGUAGGGAAUCUUCCGCAAUGGGCGAAAGCCUGACGGAGCAACGCCGCGUGAGUGAUGAAGGUCUUCGGAUCGUAAAACUCUGUUAUUAGGGAAGAACAAAUGUGUAAGUAACUAUGCACGUCUUGACGGUACCUAAUCAGAAAGCCACGGCUAACUACGUG